rnacentral:rRNA from 1 species
AGAGUUUGAUCCUGGCUCAGGACGAACGCUGGCGGCGUGCCUAACACAUGCAAGUGGAGCGACGAACCAGGCUUCGGCCUGGGGCAAAGCCGCGAACGGGUGAGUAACACGUGGGUAACCUGCCCCGAUGACCGGGACAACCCGAGGAAACUCGGGCUAAUACCGGAUGUGCUCCUCACGCAUAAGCGUGAGGAGUAAAGGAAGCUUCGGCCUCCGCUUCGGGAGGGGCCCGCGGCCCAUUAGCUAGUUGGUGAGGUAACGGCUCACCAAGGCAACGAUGGGUAGCUGGUCUGAGAGGACGAUCAGCCACACUGGGACUGAGACACGGCCCAGACUCCUACGGGAGGCAGCAGUGGGGAAUCUUGCGCAAUGCGCGAAAGCGUGACGCAGCAACGCCGCGUGGGGGAAGAAGGCCUUCGGGUUGUAAACCCCUUUCAGGAGGGACGAAGGUGCGGCGGCGAAUAGCCGUCCGUACUGACGGUACCUCCAGAAGAAGCCCCGGCUAACUACGUGCCAGCCGCCGCGGUAAUAC